rnacentral:tRNA from 1 species
GUUUGAGUAGCUUAAACAUCAAGCAUAAAACUGUAAAUUUUACUAUAUCUAACAAAUC